rnacentral:rRNA from 1 species
UACGGGGGGGGCAAGCGUUGUUCGGAAUUACUGGGCGUAAAGGGUUCGUAGGUGGCUUGUUAAGUCAGACGUGAAAUCCCUCGGCUCAACCGGGGAACUGCGUCUGAGACUGAUGAGCUCGAGUGCAGGAGAGGAACGCGGAAUUCCAGGUGUAGCGGUGAAAUGCGUAGAUAUCUGGAGGAACACCGGUGGCGAAGGCGGCGCUCUGGACCGAGACUGACGCUGAGGCGCGAAAGCGUGGGGAGCAAACAGG